AUUGAACGCUGGCGGCAUGCUUUACACAUGCAAGUCGAACGGCAGCGCGGGCUUCGGCCUGGCGGCGAGUGGCGAACGGGUGAGUAAUGCAUCGGAACGUGCCCAGUAGUGGGGGAUAGCCCGGCGAAAGCCGGAUUAAUACCGCAUACGACCUGAGGGUGAAAGCGGGGGACCGAAAGGCCUCGCGCUCUUGGAGCGGCCGAUGUCGGAUUAGCUAGUUGGUGGGGUAAAGGCUUACCAAGGCGACGAUCCGUAGCUGGUCUGAGAGGACGACCAGCCACAAGGAGACUGAGACACGGCCCAGACUCCUACGGGAGGCAGCAGUGGGGAAUUUUGGACAAUGGGGGCAAACCUGAUCCAGCCAUGCAGCGUGAGGGAAGAAGGCCUUCGGGUUGUAAAGCGCUUUUGUUCGGGAAGAAAACCUGUGGGCUAAUACCCCGGGGGGAUGACGGUACCGGAAGAAUAAGCACCGGCUAACUACGUG
rnacentral:rRNA from 1 species